rnacentral:rRNA from 1 species
ACUUUAAGCGAGGAGGAGGCUACUUUAGUUAAUACCUAGAGAUAGUGGACCUUACUCGCAGAAUAAGCACCGGCUAACUCUGUGCCAGCAGCCGCGGUAAUACAGAGGGUGCGAGCGUUAAUCGGAUUUACUGGGCGUAAAGCGUGCGUAGGCGGCUUAUUAAGUCGGAUGUGAAAUCCCCGAGCUUAACUUGGGAAUUGCAUUCGAUACUGGUGAGCUAGAGUAUGGGAGAGGAUGGUAGAAUUCCAGGUGUAGCGGUGAAAUGCGUAGAGAUCUGGAGGAAUACCGAUGGCGAAGGCAGCCAUCUGGCCUAAUACUGACGCUGAGGUACGAAAGCAUGGGGAGCAAACAGGAUUAGAUACCCUGGUAGUCCAUGCCGUAAACGAUGUCUACUAGCCGUUGGGGCCUUUGAGGCUUUAGUGGCGC